AUGGACUCCGGAUUCAAAGUUUUACAGGAGAUGGCCCAUCUGUAUGAAACCAUCGGUAAUGACAUGGUUCAUAACAUGCCUAGGACUGACGAUCCACAAAGUCUCAGGAAGCGACUAAUGGUCCAGCUGUUGAUGGUCAGGGAGAACGAAGCAAAGGAUAACAUUCCAGAGCAAGUUAGAGCAGUGUUGAGAUUUAUUGGUGGCUAA
rnacentral:rRNA from 1 species